AAAGCAUGAUGAGGACAUUUCCUAUGCAGUUUCUUAAAUCUCUCCCAACUUUUAUAAAUGGAUUCUCCAUCAAAAUAGGCAAAAUAAGUUAUAAUAUUUCUAAAUCU